rnacentral:rRNA from 1 species
UACGGAGGGUGCGAGCGUUGUCCGGAAUCACUGGGCGUAAAGGGCGCGUAGGCGGCCUGAUAAGUAGGGGGUGAAAUCCUGCGGCUUAACCGCAGGGCUGCCUUCUAAACUGUCGGGCUAGAGCACGGUAGAGGCAGAUGGAAUUCCCGGUGUAGCGGUGGAAUGCGUGGAGAUCGGGAAGAACAUCAGUGGCGAAGGCGGUCUGCUGGGCCGUUGCUGACGCUGAGGCGCGACAGCGUGGGGAGCAAACAGG